UAUCUCCUUCCCCGUGGCCUCAAAUUGAUUCCAGACCAAAUUUCACCUAAACAGUUGAGCAGUUUAAGCCUGAAGUGGUAAAGGACCGACAAACAGGCAGAGUAACUUUCGAAUUUAUAAUAUUGUUUGAAUUCAAUGUUUUUAAAGUAUUUAGAUUUUAUACCAGGUGGGCCUAUGACAGGAGAAAAAAUUAAACUGUAGGUAGGCUUUACUCCUCAAACUGCAGACCAACAUUUGUGCAAAUACUUUUAAAAAUAACUUGUGUAUUGAUUUUUAGUACACUUUAAAGUUUAUUCUAAGACGCAAUGUGUUGAGAAUUUUGUUGUGUUUGAAGCAUGACAAGCAAUGUCAAAUUACAAUGAUGAUAGCGUCCAUUGAAGAUUAUAUAUAUUUAAUUUGUAUGAAAAAUUUGUCUAAAGACAAAAGAGUCAUCGAUCGUUUGAGGAAUACAAUCUAUGUUUUAAUUAUUUUCUCAUGUUACCCCGGUGCCGUAAAAAGUAGUUUUAAAUGAAAACGCGUUUUCCCUAGUUAAAACUAGUUUUCCGUAUCACCUUGGUGAAAAUGCGUUUUCAUUAGUUAAAACACUAGUAUGCCAGAACUAUCUCGCAAAGUGCCUCGUUGAAAACUACUUUUAAAUAAUUAUUCAAAAUUAAUUUCAGUUAAAACUAGUUCUGGCUAGGGAAAACGCGUUUUCACUGGAACAGACUGUAUUUAUAAUGUUUACUUAGAAAAAAAAGCUUUUUUGUGUUAUGUCAUUUAUGUGUAUACUACUCAAAACCACCUUUUACCGAGGCCUUACGGACAACUAGUUUUAACUAACACUGAAAAUAUCCAUGACAUACUAUACAUAUGGGUAAAAUUUGUAAUCGAACAAUGAUAUAAAAUAUUACACGUGUUAAAAAGAAAAUCAUCAGCAAAAAUAGUAAAGGAACAGUUAGGUACCUAUGUUAUAUGUGCAGUGUUGCAUUAUUCUGUCAUACAAGGCAACAUCACAUAUCAACCUUGCGCCUUCCGUGUCGUUACACGUCAUGUUGAAUAACUUUCUUUGCUGUUUUCAAAACUACUUCAAUUGUAUUGCCUCCCUUCUGAUGACUUCGACAUCAAGUGAUUAAUGUAUUUUCAAUUAUGGCAAUUGAACACAGAGCGCAUGCGACGAAAUUUAUUAUUAGAAGGACGUUAAACGAGAUCACACGGUUAUACUGACCGCUUAGAGACGUACAAUACUGAGUUGAUUUGUUGUGAUCUUGAGUGAUUAAUAAGUAUUAUAAUAGGUACUUGUUAGUGUGUGUGACGCCAAAGUGAUAGAGUAUGUACGAAACGGGUAGUAGUUGGGCUAUGGAAAGAUGAGUGGCGAUAGUCGUAAAACUGGAAAACGAAACGUCAAUGUAACGCGGAGUAAUAACGCGACAUGUUUUGAGAUGGAACGCUCCAAAACGACCGGGCAUAUUAACAAUGCAAGUAAAGGAGGUUCUGGAAUGCUAGUCAAUGCGGCCCCUUCCGUGACGGAGCUGAAACAAUACCUGGGUGUUUUCAUAUGUGGAGUGACAUUGUGGGGGAGCUCAUGGUUUUUAUUGCGAGAUGCCGUACUCCCGAGCGGGUAUCUGUUCAAGAUGGCUGGCCUGGCGGCGGCGGGGUACAUCACUGGCCAUACUCUGGAGAGAUACACCACCCUGAACCCCGUCGUAGGAAUGACAUUAAUCGGCGCAUUGUAUAGAAACUUGGGAACGGAGAACUAUUUACAAAAUCCUGCCGCGGAUGCAUUGGAUUAUCAUUUAAGGCGGAUUUAUCCCGUGAUUAUCUUGUCGAAGGGGCCUCUCAGCUGGAACUGGGAAUAUAUUAAAUAUAAUUCGGUAAAAGUUUUCUCAUUGGCAACCCUUCCCUGGAUUGUGGAGUGUUUGUCUACGGCCGUCUUUGUCCAUGUGCUUCUCAAAUAUCCUUGGUAUUGGGGUCUCCACCUAGGUGCCAUACUAUCGUCUGUAUCUCCAGCUGUAAUAGUACCCACUGCCAUGGCAUUUCACGGGCGAGGCUUAGGCACAAAGAACCAGGUGGCGAGUCUCGUGGCCAAUGCGGGUGGACUGGACACCGCUGUCACUGAAGGACUUUUUGGCGUCAUAAAUAGUGCCAUAUUCGUCGCAUCCCCUCUUGCGUACAGAGUUGUAAAGGCGCUUCUAGCAAUAUUCGUUGGUAUCGGACUAGGCGUAUCGUGGGGUAUUUUGGUGGAUUGGCUGCCGGACCAGAAAGAUGUUUACGCACCAACCAUCCGCAGUCUGUUAAUUUUUACUGGCGGUCUUCUACUCAGCUACGUAGGAGGAUAUAUUGGAUGGGGCGGCACGUCUGGAGUGGCCAUCAUGGUAUGCGCCGUCACCGCAGCAACACGGUGGAAUCGGCGCGGCUGGCCAAUCAACAACAACCCCGUAUCGGAAGUAUACAAGCUCCUCUGGCGAGUCCUCGAGCCAAUGCUCUUCACUCUCAGUGGCUACUACUUGGAGGUGUCACAAAUAACCAUAGAAGAAUUCGGGCGAAUAGUUUCCUGCAUUUUCUUGGCUCUGUUUUUGCGGUUACUGACGGCAUUCCUGGUAGCCCUUGCCGGAGAGUUGUCAGUGAAGGAGAGCCUGUUUGUGGCGGUCACUUGGAUACCCAAAGCUAUCGUUGAGGAAAUCGAUCGGCCAAUAUUUGCAUGGCUGUAUUGGUUCGCGUCGCUACAGAUUCUCUGUGGGAGGAUAGCAGCGCCCAAGACAGGAGGAUUGCGGAGCAACAUUCAAAUAUCAUCGUUAUUGCAAUACUAAUAACGUCGACUUUAGGGUCGGGGCUAACGACUCUUUUAGGACCGAUUUUACUUUCACAGGACUCGAGGGUUGCUCCUGAGGAGUUACAUCCAGCAAACAAUCCCUGACGCCGUUUCGGUCCUCGGAUCUCAUUACAAGAAAUACCUCUGCUAUUAAUUAUCAAACAUAAACAUAAAAGUGUCAUUUACUAGAUUUUAAUAUACAUAGUAAUGAUUAUACAAAAAGGUCACUAAUCAAGAACUAUUUUAAGUAGGUGGUUGUUACGACUAACGGCAUCUAAUCGUGUCUAAUAUAAUAUUAAUUUGAGAAUUACUUUUGUUAUAUCGUGCAACAUUUGCUGUUACGUCGCUGGGUUGUAAUAAUGUGUAAAUCGUGAGCUUUAAUCAAUAUAGACUUUCGCGAGCCGAAACAAAUAUCUAUGUAAUUAAUAAUUGCAAAUGCAAGAUUUAGUUAUUCGCAAGCGUUUUUAAUUCUCCAUUUUUUAUUUAUGUGGCAAAAUUCAGUAACAAAGAUUAAGUUAGACGCUUAAUUGUUACUGAUACGAAAUAAGGAGGAUUUCCAAAUACACUGUAUCAAUUACUAUUUUCGCAAAAAUAUCAACUUUUGGGUUGUUUGACUCAAAAACACGGUUCUAAUGAAUAAAAAAUUAUAUACCUAGUUUUUCAAACAAAAAUAUAAUCAAUUUUAUGACAGUCUGGCCUAACGAUUUCUUUUUGGAUAUUUUUAUCAUUUCUUUUUAUAUCAGUAUUCCUCGUGAUUCUGAGGUAAGAGAGAAUUAUACCACGUACUCGUCUAUACAAAAAGAGAAAAUGUUUUUUCACUUCUAAAUAUUUUCCAUUCUCCAUGUUUUUUUUGUUGUAUGUUAUUAACACAAUGAAGCACUAGGUUUAUAGACUUUUCUUUUUUUUUUCAAAAUUUGUAAUUUUUUAAAGCGAAACCUAUAAUACUAGAAUAUAUUAUGCUGAAGCGAUCGACAUCAAAAUCAAAAAGUGAUUUGUUAAAAUUUUGUUAGUGGAAACCGUUUUCUCCCGAAUUGGAAAUUUUAUAGAAAGGUAGUACCGUUAUUUCAUUAGGAUCGCGAAGCUUUUCUUCCCUACAAUACGAGUAUAACGCAAAAGGAGUGGAUAUUUAUGAAAAAAAAUCUAUACUCGGUCUGAGCUAACUUUGUCAUUGCAAGUAUCAUACAGAGUUGGUUCGACUCUAGGUACAUACAUCUAGGUACUUAAAAUGCCCAUAAACAAGGCUAAUUAUAAUGGCAAUUAAUUAAGUAUCCAUUUUAUUUGCCACCUAACGUAGUGGCACCAGUGACCGACACUUUUGUUUUUAUCCAAGAAAAUAAGGAUAGGAACCCAGUUUCUCUGGCAAAAUCACAGAAUAAAUAAUAAUACUACCGUACAGAGAUGACACUUCCUAAAAACCGAAGUUUGACAGCGAUUCAGGGACAAAUCAUGCUGUCUCUUUCUAAUAUAUGACACUAUGCCUUAUGGCUAUUUAGGGUAGUUAAAAUUCAAGUCAUUAUCUUAUCUGUGGUUGUGGCAACCUUAAUUGCUCGGAGCAAUGCUGAGCCGAACAGAGCCGAGAAUGUCCGAACGCUCUAGUGUCUCCCCACUGGCAAAACUAUGCAGUAGCUGCCCAAUGUUGCCGUAUUGGGAGAUCGGAUCGCUUUAAUCUCACGGGGUUAUAGUAUUUUUCUGUAUUUAUAAUUUUUUUGUAUUCACAGGACCUGAUAAAAGUAAAGUUCAUUUAAGUAGAUGAAUAGUUACUUGCUUUUUGAAAUUUGUACAUUACUAUAUUUAGAAUUAAUUGUAAAAAAAAAAUUAUAAGCAUUAAGUACACGUUGUUGUACCCAUAGACUUUCAAAUUUUAAAUGAUACAUUACAAAUGUACAUUUGAUUUAUACUUUAUUAAAAUUAUAGUAUUGAA